AGCGGGAAGUAGUUUACUACUUUGCCGGCGAGCGGCGGACGGGUGAGUAAUGUCUGGGAAACUGCCUGAUGGAGGGGGAUAACUACUGGAAACGGUAGCUAAUACCGCAUAACGUCUUCGGACCAAAGUGGGGGACCUUCGGGCCUCACGCCAUCGGAUGUGCCCAGAUGGGAUUAGCUAGUAGGUGGGGUAAUGGCUCACCUAGGCGACGAUCCCUAGCUGGUCUGAGAGGAUGACCAGCCACACUGGAACUGAGACACGGUCCAGACUCCUACGGGAGGCAGCAGUGGGGAAUAUUGCACAAUGGGCGCAAGCCUGAUGCAGCCAUGCCGCGUGUGUGAAGAAGGCCUUCGGGUUGUAAAGCACUUUCAGCGAGGAGGAAGGCCAAUAACUUAAUACGUUGUUGGAUUGACGUUACUCGCAGAAGAAGCACCGGCUAACUCCGUGCCAGCAGCCGCGGUAAUACGGAGGGUGCAAGCGUUAAUCGGAAUUACUGGGCGUAAAGCGCACGCAGGCGGUUUGUUAAGUCAGAUGUGAAAUCCCCGCGCUUAACGUGGGAACUGCAUUUGAAACUGGCAAGCUAGAGUCUUGUAGAGGGGGGUAGAAUUCCAGGUGUAGCGGUGAAAUGCGUAGAGAUCUGGAGGAAUACCGGUGGCGAAGGCGGCCCCCUGGACAAAGACUGACGCUCAGGUGCGAAAGCGUGGAGAGCAAACA
rnacentral:rRNA from 1 species